UACGAAGGGGGCUAGCGUUGCUCGGAAUCACUGGGCGUAAAGCGCACGUAGGCGGAUUGCUAAGUCAGGGGUGAAAUCCUGGAGCUCAACUCCAGAACUGCCUUUGAUACUGGCGAUCUUGAGUCCGGGAGAGGUGAGUGGAACUCCGAGUGUAGAGGUGAAAUUCGUAGAUAUUCGGAAGAACACCAGUGGCGAAGGCGGCUCACUGGCCCGGUACUGACACUGAGGCACGAAGGCCAGGGGAGCAAACGGG
rnacentral:rRNA from 1 species